rnacentral:rRNA from 1 species
UACGGGGGGGGCAAGCGUUGUUCGGAAUUACUGGGCGUAAAGGGCUCGUAGGUGGCCAACUAAGUCAGACGUGAAAUCCCUCGGCUUAACCGGGGAACUGCGUCUGAUACUGGAUGGCUUGAGUUUGGGAGGGGGACGCGGAAUUCCAGGUGUAGCGGUGAAAUGCGUAGAUAUCUGGAGGAACACCGGUGGCGAAGGCGGCGUCCUGGACCAACACUGACGCUGAGGAGCGAAAGCGUGGGUAGCAAACAGG